GACGAACGCUGGCGGCGUGCUUAACACAUGCAAGUCGAACGGAAAGGCCCUGCUUUUGUGGGGUGCUCGAGUGGCGAACGGGCGAGUAACACGUGAGUAACCUGCCCUUGACUUUGGGAUAACUUCAGGAAACUGGGGCUAAUACCGGAUAGGAGCUCCUGCUGCAUGGUGGGGGUUGGAAAGUUUCGGCGGUUGGGGAUGGACUCGCGGCUUAUCAGCUUGUUGGUGGGGUAGUGGCUUACCAAGGCUUUGACGGGUAGCCGGCCUGAGAGGGUGACCGGCCACAUUGGGACUGAGAUACGGCACAGACUCCUACGGGAGGCAGCAGUGGGGAAUAGUGCACAAUGGGAGGAAGCCUGAUGCAGCAACGCCGCGUGCGGGAUGACGGCCUUCGGGUUGUAAACCGCUGUCGCCUGUGACGAAGCGUGAGUGACGGUAAUGGGUAAAGAAGCACCGGCUAACUACGUG
rnacentral:rRNA from 1 species